rnacentral:lncRNA from 1 species
UCCUGCAAAGUAUAGUAGAUAAAUAAGUAGUGAAUAAUUCCUUUGCUCCCCAUGUUUUAGGCAGAGCAAGGAAGUAGUGCACACUCUCUUGGUGGGACUAACCACUGGCUGGGGUAGAAGGGGGAAAGUGUGAAAAGGUGACUCCCUGGCCUUGACCGUGAGCAACACCAUCCACCUGGCAGGCUCAUUUACUUUGAAGUUGCUGUGAUUUUCUAGGCUUUAUGCCUUAGCUCCUGCUAUUAU